rnacentral:rRNA from 1 species
UAAACAUGCAGUCGAACGAUGAAGCCUUUCGGGGUGGAUUAGUGGCGAACGGGUGAGCAACACGUGGGCAAUCUGCCCUUCACUCUGGGACAAGCCCUGGAAACGGGGUCUAAUACCGGAUAACACUCUGUCCCGCAUGGGACGGGGUUAAAAGCUCCGGCGGUGAAGGAUGAGCCCGCGGCCUAUCAGCUUGUUGGUGGGGUAAUGGCCUACCAAGGCGACGACGGGUAGCCGGCCUGAGAGGGCGACCGGCCACACUGGGACUGAGACACGGCCCAGACUCCUACGGGAGGCAGCAGUGGGGAAUAUUGCACAAUGGGCGAAAGCCUGAUGCAGCGACGCCGCGUGAGGGAUGACGGCCUUCGGGUUGUAAACCUCUUUCAGCAGGGAAGAAGCGAAAGUGACGGUACCUGCAGAAGAAGCGCCGGCUAACUACGUGCCAGCAGCCGCGGUAAUACGUAGGGCGCAAGCGUUGUCCGGAAUUAUUGGGCGUAAAGAGCUCGUAGGCGGCUUGUCACGUCGGAUGUGAAAGCCCGGGGCUUAACCCCGGGUCUGCAUUCGAUACGGGCUAGCUAGAGUGUGGUAGGGGAGAUCGGAAUUCCUGGUGUAGCGGUGAAAUGCGCAGAUAUCAGGAGGAACACCGGUGGCGAAGGCGGAUCUCUGGGCCAUUACUGACGCUGAG